CCCAGCCCACCUUGCUCCCAACCUCCCAGCGCCGCCUCCCCCUGCUACCCAAAAAUCCCCUUUUUCGCCCCCUCCGGCGCUGGCAGAUCCCGGCCAACUCCGGCGAGUCUCUGCCCCGGCCACCAAUCGCCCCGACACCCCUUCCUCCUACUCUCUCUACUCCACAACGUGAACCACCAAAUUGGAGCCCCCACCACAAACCCUAGCUCACAUCCCGGCUGUACAUAGGAGCAGGACAUCAAGCUUCGAUCUUGGCGUCCAUGGCGGCGGCGCGCGAGAGCGGGUGGUGGUGACAUGGCUCGGUGGCCGUCUGGACCACGCGGAGGCGAUGUUGCCGGCCAGCAAGCACGGCGACCUCAUCCACGCCCGCGCCAUGCACCGUCGGAAUGCGCGUCCGGUCCUCUUCCUCCUCGUCGUUCCCCAUCUCCAGGAUGGCCUCCACCGAGACCUCGCGUCCGCUGGCAGAAGCACCUGCACGGGCGCGACUUGCUGUGGGAGACGGAGAGGUCAGGGGGAGGAGCGGCGUGCUUUUGCCGGCGCCGCCGCCACGGCUCGGGCAUAGUGCCGUGCGAGCACCCCUGCUCCGGCCUAGGUGCAGGACCACCCAAGGAUAACUAGCUGUGCUGCCUGUCUCCAUGGUUAUGACAAAUUUGACAUGAAGGCGAUGAACCGGGUCGACGUUAGACAGAUUCAAGGCUGCCAGGGAGCCUGCACGGCCACCCCAACUCGCUGCUGACUGUCAGGCACUACGUCCUCCCGGUGUUCAGGAUUGACAGCUUUUUGUAGGUUUGCUCCGCCCUCUUCUUCAUGCUGUACUGUAAUAUUACGACAAUGGCAUUCAGUUCUAGCAAUAAUACUCACAUGCUGAUGGUUGUUAUUAGAACUUAAAGAAACUUUGUUGUUGUUAAUAAUCUGGUGAUGAUUACAUGUCCUGGAGCUCAACGCCGACGCGGCGACCUCGAUGCCACUUUCCAGGCCCUCGUUAACUUUGGCCCCAAGAGGAUUUUUGUGUGAUGGCUUGGUCCGGAUCAUGGAGCCGCUGGAGCUGGUUCAAGGCUGGAGUUGGCUGAGUGUAGGAAUGAGGAUACAUGUGUUUGGUUUCUAGUAUUGAAGAAUAUACUACUCCUUCAUCGUAUCCAUAGUUUUUUGUGAAUUACA